rnacentral:tRNA from 1 species
GGGGACGGAUGGGUUCUGGUGGACUCCGAGGACUUCAAAUCCUUAUGUCGGGCGCUAGAAACGUCCGAGGUGGGUUCGAUUCCCACACGUUCCCGCCA